UCUCCAUAUUCAUAGAUUAGACUUGUUUGAGAUUAUAUAUAAGUAUUCUUGAGAGUUUGAAGCAAGAAAACCACCCCCUUCAUUUUUCUCUAAAUUUUCGAAAAUAUGGGUCUUAUACCCUUUAAAAAAUUUUCUUUUUCUUUCCUUGAAUUGGGGUGAGAAAAAUGAUCUAUGAUAUGUUUGGUGAUGAUUGAUGUGUGUUUUGCAAAGCUAUGCUUUGAGAAUUGAAUUUUCGAUGGAAGUUAGUUUACCCAAAAAUGGGAAAUUUUGAGUCAAUGAGUUAAUAGAUAAAUUGAUGAUGUAAAUGAGUCUAUGAGAUGUAUAUGAUGAUGAUUGAUGGAGUAAAUUGAGUAUAUGAUGUCAAAUGAUGAUUUUGAUAUGAGUUAGUUUACUAAAAUAAGGGCUAUGUGUAUCUAUGCUCUAAUUUGUAAAUUGAUGGUUUAUAUGUGAGUUAAAUGGGUUAAGAUUAAUAGAUAUAUGAUGAGAUUAAAGAUCCAUGUGAGUUCAUAAAAUUUCAAAGAGUUUAGUAUAAUAAAAAUUGGGACUUUCUUGUCUAUGUGUUUAAUAAAUGAUUUGGCUUAAGAUAUGUGUAAUUGAGCAUGAUGUUGGUGUUUUAAUAUGUUUGAUUAAGUCUUUUGGAAGCUAAGUAAAAUUUUGACUUGAGUUAGUUUAUGAGAGUUUUUGAGUUUUCAUAUUUUGAGAAGUCAAUAAUUGAUAAAAUGAGGUCUAAUUUGCUUUAUGACCAUUUUGUGAAGUUGUCAUGUUUUGUUGAGAGUUUAUGUGAAUAUAUGAGUUUUUAUUAAAGUUUGGUUGGUAUGAUUAAAAGGGAUUUAUGUGUAUAAAAUGAGUUAUAUGAAGUAUGAGGUCAUUUUGAAUGAUUGAGUGUUUUUAAGCAUGAAAUUGAGAAGAGGAUUGACUUGAUACGUUUGUAGAAACGUUUUCCUUGAAAUUUGAGUUAAGAUGUAAAAGAGGAGAGUUAAUUUGAGUAUGAUGAGUAUUUUAAAUGUUUUGAAUGUUUUUGAGUGUUGUAUGUGUUUAAAAUGAACUUUGAUUGGUUUUCUUUGAAGAAAUGUUGAAUUGAGCAUUUAAGAGUUUGAGAUGAGUUUUGGUGAUUUUUUCGUAGGCUACUGACCUACUGUGAUCGACGGGUUGUCGAUGUCUUAUGGCUUUGAAAAUUUUACAGCAUGUCCCUACAUGAGUCUUGAGCAUACCGGUAAAAUUUCAAGUCAUUUGGACUUGAUUUACUAUUUUUAAAAAAAUGCAAAACCAAAUCUGCACAUUUCUACCGGGAAUUUCAGAGAACAGGGGACAAAGUCAUUCAUUUCAGUAGCUUCCUGUGUGAUCUAGCUUUCCCAAUUUUUAUGGUAUCAACCUUACUGUAUGUUCUAGAUAUCCACCAAAUUUGAGCUCAGUUUGACAACGUUUACUAUUUUUCAAAAAUCAAUGUUUCCGAUUGCUCAAAACUGCCGAAUAUGGUAGACCGUGGUAAAAACGCCAUAUCUCCCAAACCACUUGGCGUUUCUGACUCUACUUUUUUUUGAAUGAAACUAGACUCAAAUACCUUUCUUUUGGUAUGAGUCUGGAGUCCAGAAGAUGUCGGAGUCAGAACGUGUUAAAUUUUGAAGUUGAGUCAGUGGGAAAACAGAACAUGAUUUGUUGAUGUUUGAUUGUAUUUUCUUAUGUGCCUUAUGUGUUUAUGUUGCUUAAGUGUUUUAAUGAGAUUAGACGAGUCUUAUAUGAGAGAUAAAUCGAGACUUAGAACCAUGAUUUUCUUGAAACCUAUCCUUGGACUUAAGGAUUUGAAAUGAGUGAAGAAGUUUAUGUAGAGUCGAUCAAGAGAUAGAAUAUAAGAUAGAGCAUGAGUUAAGGCAUGAGUUUUUGUCGUUGAGUUCUAAUCGAGAUUCAUUUUAUGACAUGAACCUUCGAUGAUGACGAUGAUCCCUGAAGACACGAGCAGAGCAAGGAAGUAAGUAACUCCGCUUUGACGGGAGUGUUUGAGUAAGGUCUUCAGGCUAAGCGAGGAGCGAGAUUGGUCUGGUGCUAGUGGGGGAAACGUUUCAAUCGAUGUAAUUAUGUUUUCGUAUUGCCUUCAUGUUAAUAGAGUCUUGAGGAUUGAGAUACUUUGUUUUCUUUUGAAAUCAAGCAAUUUACUCACGGUUAUGUGUCUUCAUACAUGUAAUCGAUUCGCCUUUUGCUGCGAUACUCUGCAUUUUAUGAUUCCUUAUGAAAAAUGAGCUAUACCCGUUU